rnacentral:piRNA from 1 species
UAGAGAAAGGGGCAAAUUCUGGUGCAAGU